rnacentral:rRNA from 1 species
AAGGUGAAGAUGGUUAUAAGAGACAGGCGGUAAUUCUGGAGCUAAUACAUGCGUACUAGCCGCGACUCACGGAGCGGUGCUUUUAUUAGAUCAAAACCAAACGGCCUCGAGCCGUCCCCCUGGUGAUUCUGAAUAACUUUGGGCUGAUCGCACGGACUCGUUCCGGCGACGUGUCCUUCCAAGGUGUGCCCUAUCAACUGUCGACUGUGGCAUAGACGCCCACAGUGGUUUUGACGGGUAACGGGGAAUUAGGGUUCGAUUCCGGAGAGGGAGCCUGAGAAACGGCUACCACUUCUACGGAAGGCAGCAGGCACGCAAAUUACCCACUGGCCGAAGGCCGAGGUAGUGACGAAAAAUAACGAUACCGGACUCAUCCGAGGCCCGGUAAUCGGAAUGAGUACACUUUAAAUCCUUUAACGAGGAACAAUUGGAGGGCAAGUCUGGUGCCAGCAGCCGCGGUAAUUCCAGCUCCAAUAGCGUAUAUUAAAGUUGUUGCGGUUAAAAAGCUCGUAGUUGGAUCUCGGCGGGCAGGGGGUGGUUCGCUCUUCAGCGCUACUGCCCCGCUUUGCCCGUGUGAUUGGCGGAGGUUUCGGGGUGCUCUUCGUUGAGUGACUCGGAGCGCCGUCAGGUUUACUUUGAAAAAAUUAGAGUGCUCAAAGCAGGCUUUUCACGCUUGAAUAUUCGUGCAUGGAAUAAUGGAAUAGGAACUCGUUUCUAUUUUGUUGGUUUUCGGAAAUCGAGUUAAUGAUUAACAGGGACAAUUGGGGGCAUUAGUAUUCAGACGACAGAGGUGAAAUUCUUGGACCGUCUGAAGACUGACUACUGCGAAAGCAUUUGCCAAGAGUGUUUUCAUUAAUCAAGAACGAAAGUUAGAGGUUCGAAGGCGAUCAGAUACCGCCCUAGUUCUAACCAUAAACGAUGCUGACUAGCGAUCCGUAGCUGUUUUCUAUGUAGGCUCUACGGGAAGCUUCCGGGAAACCAAAGUUUUUGAGUUCCGGGGGAAGUAUGGUUGCAAAGCUGAAACUUAAAGGAAUUGACGGAAGGGCACCACCAGGAGUGGAGCCUGCGGCUUAAUUUGACUCAACACGGGAAAUCUCACCAGGCCCGGACACUGGAAGGAUUGACAGAUUGAGAGCUCUUUCUCGAUUCGGUGGGUGGUGGUGCAUGGCCGUUCUUAGUUGGUGGAGUGAUUUGUCUGGUUAAUUCCGAUAACGAACGAGACUCUGUCCUGCUAAAUAGGUGUGCCGUCUCUUUUGCGGUACACAUUCUUCUUAGAGGGACUGGCGGCGUCUAGCCGCACGAGAUUGAGCAAUAACAGGUCUGUGAUGCCCUUAGAUGUUCUGGGCUGCACACGCGCUACACUGAAUG